rfam:Rhodopirellula maiorica SM1 cSM10086, whole genome shotgun sequence.
GGGGAGGCGACAAACCGUGGGGAGGAAGCCUGCGAUGCUCGAUCGGCGUAGCAACCGGCAGCAUCCCGCCAAAGCUGCGAGGUGACGAACAGAAACGUCGUAGAGGCGGGCGGGGAUUGAGGCGAGUGGACCGAGGACUACAAAGCCGUUUCCGACAAAGAUCCUUUCCGUAGACGACGCACUUGCGCAGCGAAAGUUCACGUC